AGGUGACCCUGCGGAAGGGAUCGAU
rnacentral:rRNA from 1 species